AGAGUUUGAUCCUGGCUCAGGAUGAACGCUAGCGGCAGGCUUAACACAUGCAAGUCGAGGGGCAGCACGGGUAGCAAUACCUGGUGGCGACCGGCGGAAGGGUGCGUAACGCGUGAGCAACAUGCCCAUACAGGGGAAUAAACCAGGGAAACUUGGUCUAAUGCCCCAUAGCAAUAAGAUAAGGCAUCUUAUUUUAUUUAAAGCUUCGGUGGUAUAGGAUUGGCUCGCGUGACAUUAGCUGGAUGGUGGGGUAACGGCCCACCAUGGCGAUGAUGUCUAGGGGUUCUGAGAGGAAGACCCCCCACACUGGGACUGAGACACGGCCCAGACUCCUACGGGAGGCAGAGUGAGGAAUAUUGGACAAUGGAUGGAAAUCUGAUCCAGCCAUGCCGCGUGCAGGAAGACGGCCCUAUGGGUUGUAAACUGCUUUUCUACCGGAGCAAUAAGGUCUACGCGUAGACUGAUGAGAGUACCGUAGGAAUAAGCAUCGGCUAACUCCGUGCCAGCAGCCGCGGUAAUACGGAGGAUGCGAGCGUUAUCCGGAUUUAUUGGGUUUAAAGGGUGCGUAGGCGGCUUUUUAAGUCAGCGGUGAAAUUUUGCAGCUUAACUGUAACAGUGCCGUUGAUACUGGGGAGCUAGGAUUUGGUUGCUGUGGGUGGAAUGUGUGGUGUAGCGGUGAAAUGCUUAGAGAUCACACAGAAUAUCGAUUGCGAAGGCAGCUCACAAAGCCAAGAUUGACGCUGAGGCACGAAAGUGUG
rnacentral:rRNA from 1 species